rnacentral:rRNA from 1 species
UAGGGAAUCUUCCGCAAUGGGCGAAAGCCUGACGGAGCAACGCCGCGUGAGUGAUGAAGGUCUUCGGAUCGUAAAACUCUGUUAUUAGGGAAGAACAAAUGUGUAAGUAACUAUGCACGUCUUGACGGUACCUAAUCAGAAAGCCACGGCUAACUACGUGCCAGCAGCCGCGGUAAUACGUAGGUGGCAAGCGUUAUCCGGAAUUAUUGGGCGUAAAGCGCGCGUAGGCGGUUUUUUAAGUCUGAUGUGAAAGCCCACGGCUCAACCGUGGAGAGUCAUUUGAAACUGGCAAACUUGAGUGCAGAAGAGGAAAGUUGAAUUCCAUGUGUAGCGGUGAAAUGCGCAGAGAUAUGGAGUAACACCAGUGGCGAAGGCGACUUUCUGGUCUGUAACUGACGCUGAUGUGCGAAAGCGUGGGGAUCAAACAGG